rnacentral:rRNA from 1 species
AGUGAACGCUGGCGGUAGGCCUAACACAUGCAAGUCGAACGGCAGCACAGGAGAGCUUGCUCUCUGGGUGGCGAGUGGCGGACGGGUGAGGAAUACAUCGGAAUCUACUUUUUCGUGGGGGAUAACGUAGGGAAACUUACGCUAAUACCGCAUACGACCUACGGGUGAAAGCAGGGGAUCUUCGGACGUUGCGCGAUUGAAUGAGCCGAUGUCGGAUUAGCUAGUUAGCGGGGUAAAGGCCCACCAAGGCGACGAUCCGUAGCUGGUCUGAGAGGAGGAUCAGGCACACUGGAACGGAGACACGGGCCAGACGCCUACGGGAGGCAGCAGUGGGGAAUAUUGGACAAUGGGCGCAAGCCUGAUCCAGCCAUACCGCGUGGGUGAAGAAGGCCUUCGGGUUGUAAAGCCCUUUUGUUGGGAAAGAAAUCCAGCUGGUUAAUACCCGGUUGGGAUGACGGUACCCAAAGAAUAAGCACCGGUUAACUUCGUGCCAGCCGCCGCGGUAA